rnacentral:lncRNA from 1 species
CCUCUGACCUACAGGGAGUGCAGAAUUAUUAGGCAAGUUGUAUUUUUGAGGAUUAAUUUUAUUAUUGAACAACAACCAUGUUCUCAAUGAACCCAAAAAACUCAUUAAUAUCAAAGCUGAAUAUUUUUGGAAGUAGUUUUUAGUUUUUAGUUUUAGCUAUGUUAGGGGGAUAUCUGUGUGUGCAGGUGACUAUUACUGUGCAUAAUUAUUAGGCAACUUAACAAAAAACAAAUAUA